GUUGUUCAGCGGUAUAUUGUUUACAUUUUGAUCUAGUGCAUGUGUUAGUCAUUUUGCGAAUGAACGCGGGCUAUAGUUCUUAGUUUAUGUGUGUUGUCCGAUAUGAUUAAAAUUAUAUAUAACAGUAAAAAAAUUUACAAAGAUUAACAAAAAGUAAUGAUGAUGUUGCUCGUUGGCGAAGGUUGAAGUGGAUUUGUGCUUUACGGAUUGGAAGAGAAAUUACCAAAAGAAUGUGCGUUUGUUCUAAACAUUUUCAGAAAACGGAUUACGUUUUACCUU